GACCCAGAUUUCGAAUCAAAUUUCGAUCCAGAUCUAAACAUGGAUCAUUUUAUACAAAAUAACAUACAUUAAAAAAGACAGAUUGAAUAGUAAUACAGAAAAUCUCUUUCCAUCAAUUUAAUUAAGUAAAAAUAUAUGAUCCUAUCCAUUUCAAAUCAUUACUAACAGGUAUAGCUCUAUCCCUUUAAAAAAAAUCAUAAUCUUAUUAUUAUUAUUAGUCAAUAUUUUAUUUUAUUAUUAUAAAAAUUUUGACAGUAUCUCCCCAUGGUUCUCCA
rnacentral:lncRNA from 1 species